AACGCGAAGAACCUUACCAAGGUUUGACAUGCAGGGAAAAGCCUCAGAGAUGGGGUGUCCGUAAGGGUCCUGCACAGGUGGUGCAUGGCUGUCGUCAGCUCGUGUCGUGAGAUGUUGGGUUAAGUCCCGCAACGAGCGCAACCCUCGUCCUAUGUUGCCAGCGGGUAAUGCCGGGGACUCAUAGGAGACUGCCGGGGUCAACUCGGAGGAAGGUGGGGAUGACGUCAAGUCCUCAUGCCCCUUAUGUCUUGGGCUGCAAACAUGCUACAAUGGCCGGUACAAAGGGUUGCAAGACCGCAAGGUGGAGCGAAUCCCAAAAAGCCGGUCUCAGUUCGGAUUGGGGUCUGCAACUCGACCCCAUGAAGUCGGAGUCGCUAGUAAUCGCGAAUCAGCAACGUCGCGGUGAAUACGUUCCCGGGCCUUGUA
rnacentral:rRNA from 1 species